GUUGUUUGUUAAGCUAGUUAACCUAAAGCUAACCAGCCAACAUCUCUGACCUGCAGAGAAAGGUCUAAAUUGCCAUUAUCUGAUAAAGUCCAUCAUCUCAUCAGUGCUCAUCUUUACACGCUCAGCAUCUCCAGAGCAGGCAACUGUCACCAUGGAGACACCGCCAUUCUUUUGCUCAUGUGAGGAGAUUAAAAGUGCUCUGCCCAUUACUGACUGGUACAAGCCCUGAGACUUGAAUGGAUGGACAGCCAUUAUGAGAAGAAGAAGAUACCUUUUUCAUUUAGACCAGCUUUUUCUUCAAGGCUGCUGCAAGAACAGAAGCUCACCUUUCCCACAGAAAAACCCUUGGAUUAUGACCAGAAUCUAACUUGGGAGCGAGCGAGGAAAGUUUUUCUGUCUCUCAGCCCUUGUGAUGACCUCAUCAG
rnacentral:lncRNA from 1 species